GACGAAUGCUGGCGGCGUGCUUAACACAUGCAAGUCGAACGGAAAGGCCCUGCUUGCAGGGUACUCGAGUGGCGAACGGGUGAGUAACACGCGGGUGAUCUGCCCUGCACUUCGGGAUAAGCCUGGGAAACUGGGUCUAAUACCGGAUAGGAGCCAUUUUUAGUGUGAUGGUUGGAAAGUUUUUUCGGUGUAGGAUGAGCUCGCGGCCUAUCAGCUUGUUGGUGGGGUAAUGGCCUACCAAGGCGGCGACGGGUAGCCGGCCUGAGAGGGUGGACGGCCACAUGGGGCCUGGGAUACGGCCCAGACCCCUAGGGGGGGCAACAGUGGGGAAUAUUACACAAGGGGGGAAAGCCUGAUGCAGGGGCCCCGCGGGGGGGAUGACGGCCUUCGGGUUGUAAACUCCUUUCGCUGGGGACGAAGCUUUUGGGGCGGUACUUAGAAAAGAAGCACCGGCUAACUACGU
rnacentral:rRNA from 1 species